AUUGAACGCUGGCGGCAGGCCUAACACAUGCAAGUCGAACGAGUGGCGGACGGGUGAGUAAUGUCUGGGAAACUGCCUGAUGGAGGGGGAUAACUACUGGAAACGGUAGCUAAUACCGCAUACCAUCAGAUGAACCCAUAUGGGAUUAUCUGGUUGGUGGGGUAACGGCUCACCUAGGCGACGAUCCCUAGCUGGUCUGAGAGGAUGAUCAGCCACACGGGAACUGAGACACGGUCCAGACUCCUACGGGAGGCAGCAGUGGGGAAUAUUGCACAAUGGGCGCAAGCCUGAUGCAGCCAUGCCGCGUGUAUGAAGAAGGCCUUCGGGUUGUAAAGUACUUUCAGCGGGGAGGCGUUACCCACAGAAGAAGCACCGGCUAACUCCGUGCCAGCAGCCGCGGUAAUAC
rnacentral:rRNA from 1 species